rnacentral:rRNA from 1 species
GAUGAACGCUGGCGGCGUGCCUGAUACAUGCAAGUCGAGCGAACAGACGAGGAGCUUGCUCCUCUGACGUUAGCGGCGGACGGGUGAGUAACACGUGGAUAACCUACCUAUAAGACUGGGAUAACUUCGGGAAACCGGAGCUAAUACCGGAUAACAUGUUGAACCGCAUGGUUCAACAGUGAAAGACGGUCUUGCUGUCACUUAUAGAUGGAUCCGCGCCGCAUUAGCUAGUUGGUAAGGUAACGGCUUACCAAGGCAACGAUGCGUAGCCGACCUGAGAGGGUGAUCGGCCACACUGGAACUGAGACACGGUCCAGACUCCUACGGGAGGCAGCAGUAGGGAAUCUUCCGCAAUGGGCGAAAGCCUGACGGAGCAACGCCGCGUGAGUGAAGAAGGUCUUCGGAUCGUAAAACUCUGUUAUUAGGGAAGAACAAAUGUGUAAGUAACUAUGCACGUCUUGACGGUACCUAAUCAGAAAGCCACGGCUAACUACGUG